AGGAGUCUAACGGAGGUAAAGCACUGAACUGACGCGGGGCCCCAAAAGGUUACCAACUCAAAUCAAACUAAGAAUGCCGUCAAGAUACCCUCGGGAGUCAGACUACGGGAGAUAAGUUUCGUGGUCAAAAGGGAAAGAGCCCAGACCUACAGCUAAGGUCCCAAAGUGUGUGUUAAGUGGAAAAGGAUGUGGGAUUUCAUAGACAACUAGGAUGUUGGCUUAGAAGCAGCCAUACAUUUAAAGAGGGCGUAAUAGCUCACUAGUCGAGAGAACCUGCGCCGAAAAUAAUCGGGGCUAAAACACACCACCGAAGCUACGGAUUUCCUGCUUAAGGUAGGAAGUGGUAGAGGAGCAUACUGCAAGGACGAAGCCUGAUUGAGAGAGAAGGUGGACGAAGCAGUAGAGAGAAUGCCGGAAUGAGUAGCGAGAUAUAUGUGAGAACCAUAUAGGCCGAAUAUCUAAGGAUUCCUGAGUGAAGCUAAUCUGCUCAGGGUAAGUCGGGACCUAAGGCGAGGACGAGAGUCGUAGUCGAUGGACAACUGGUAGAGAUUCCAGUACUAUGUAUAAUCAGAACUGUGGGGACGCAGGAGGAUAGAUGGACCGCGGAAAGGGAAGACGCGGCCAAGUACAAAGUCAAGUUAGGUAGGCAAAUCCGCCAAACGAUGAUGAAGUACGACGGGGACUGAAAGAAAGUAAGGAAGUCAUUGAAUCCACACUGCCGAGAAAAGCCGCUAUAGUGUUAUACAUACCCGUACCGUAAACCGACACAGGUAGAUGAGGAGAAAAUCCACAGGCCGACGGGAGAAGUGUUGUUAAGGAACUCGGCAAAAUGACCCCGUAACUUAGGGAGAAGGGGAGCCACGAGAGUGGUCACAGAAAAGAGGCUCAAGCAACUGUUUAGCAAAAACACAGGUCUCUGCGAAACCGAAAGGUGAAGUAUAUGGGCUGACGCCUGCCCGGUGCUGGAAGGUUAAAAGGAGAGGUCAGCGCAAGCGAAGCUUUGAAUUCAAGCCCCAGUAAACGGCGGCCGUAACUAUAACGGUCCUAAGGUAGCGAAAUUCCUUGUCAGGUAAGUUCUGACCCGCACGAAAGGCGUAAUGAUUUGUGCACUGUCUCGACAACACGCCCGGUGAAAUUGAAGAACCAGUGAAGAUACUGGUUACCCGCAACAGGACGGAAAGACCCCAUGGAGCUUUACUGCAGCCUGAUACUGGGAUUCGAUGAUAUAUGUACAGGAUAGGUGGGAGGCUAAGAAGCGAGAACGCUAGUUUUCGUGGAGCCGCCGGUGGGAUACCACUCUUAUGUCAUUGAAUUUCUAACCUGCAUCCGUAAUCCGGGUGAGGGACAAUGUCAGGCGGGCAGUUUGACUGGGGCGGUCGCCUCCUAAAAGGUAACGGAGGCGCUCGAAGGUCACCUCAGAAUGAUUGGAAACCAUUCAAAGAGUGUAAAGGCAAAAGGUGGCUUGACUGCGAGAGCGACGGCUCGAGCAGGUACGAAAGUAGGACUUAGUGAUCCGGUGGUAAUAA
rnacentral:rRNA from 1 species